CCCCCCCGCUUUUUUCUUUUUAAGCAUUUCCAUGGAAAGGCUCGCUGGAAUGUCAUACAGAGGAAGAAAUCCAAGCUCCUUGAAGGACCAGUAAGAGCUCCAGCAGGCACGAUUGGUUCUUCCAAGCACCAGGAGAUGAGGGGCUGGGACUGACCUUGCUGGAACUGAGCCUACCGAUGCCUACAGCUGGAAGCAAUUGCAUGGGACUUUGCAGUAGGGUCCUCGUUGCAGUGAUGCCACUUGGGGUGACUCACUUGCUGUCUCCACGUCUCCUUCUCUUCAUCAGCUGAAGAUAACUCCUACUGAGAUACACUGAUCCCGGUGUGCUUCAGCAUCUGGAAGAUCCUAAGAGGAAUGACACAGAGUGAUGGGAAGCACAGGCACAAUCCUGAACAUCUCCUGCUGCGGGACACAAGCCCAGGAGAGAGCUGAGGAAGGUGGGUUUUGUGCUGAGCCUUCCAAGUCCAGCAGAGAGAUCCCCCCCCACUGCUGAGGCACUUCACUGGAGAAUAAUUUAGACCCUUUUCCUAAGCCAGGAGACUGUUACGGAUCCUGCCAGCUGGAGCAGGUCAGGUCUUCAGCUGCUUCACUGUGUUUUCACUCACCACCAAAAUCAGCAGGAGCCAAGAGAGCAUUUACUGAGGGUAAUUUUCAACACUCUCCUGCAACACUCGCAUGCCAGGUAGGAAAAGCCAUGAGAUUGGGUGUGCAGCACAUCUGCAGGCCCCGGUGAUGAGGAUGAGGUUUCCAAUAAGUGGAAAAAAGGAUAACGAGUUUAGAAAUGUUUCCUUUGAAACUUCCACAGAAUGGUUUGUCGUCAACAAGAGGUGGGUGGUGUCAUUUAUAUUUGAUUUUCCGUUUUCUGAUUAGAAAAGAGGAAGCCGUGCUGUUUUCUGACAAAAAGUUACAUUCCAGAAAUUGGCGGUUCUGUAAAAUAUCCUUCCCCUGAAAAAAAUCCACCAUUAAAAAGGCCAAAUAACAACAACCUGGAAAUCAAAAGCCAAAUUCAUUUCCAUUAUCCAUUUUCUUCCAAAAUGAGAAAACAUUUAGAGGGAAAUUUUAGUAAGAGCAACCAUGUGCAUCCUGGAAAUCCUGAUAUUUACUGGGCAUAAAAAUAAGUUUAAAAAAAAAAAGCCAUAUUUUGGCCAAAUGUUACAGGAAAAGAAGGGAACUCUGUGCAGCCCGGAAUGUUUGUUCACAUCCCUGAAGCUGGUUGGGGAUGGAGGGAAAAGAUGAAGGCUCAGAUCAUUUCCUUGUGCACUCCUAUGGGCUUGCUUAGCUUCCUGUUAUUGUCCUGGCUCUGCUCCCACUCAUGCUACCCAACAGGUCUGCAAGGAUGCGGGACCCAGCCUGGCAUUGGGUUCCAAAAAAGCUGGCUACUUUCCCCUCAAAAACAUUAACUCAGCGACAAUGAGCUGGCAACGACUUCCCAGAUGGACUUACAGCCUGACCUGAAGCUUUCUUCCUGCCCAAGGUGAAAGGAGAAGAAAGAGAGGCUGUGUUUUGUUGAGGAUAGGUGUCUUUGGAGAGGUUGGUCUAAAUCAGAGGGAAUGUUGGUAUAGUCUGGCUUUUUCUUACAUAAAAUGGAUUUGUGAGUUUGGGGUGGGUAACAGAGAGCAUUCUUCUACCUCAGAAAAGGAAAUAAUACAGACAGAUUAGCUCUAGGAAAGUGGCAGCCUUCCCUUCCUCUCCAGAAAAGCCAUGGCAGUGUAGCCCAACCAGCCAACCCAAGGAUGCUGUCAGUCAUCACAUGCUGCCAUCCAGCCACUGUGCUCCUCCUCACAGCAGCUCUGCUUGGUCCUGGUUCCAUUGCCACUCCUGCAGGAAUCUCUCUCCUUUCCUCAAAACCAGAGCCCGUGUCGGGAAAUGUUCAGGAAACGGGGGCAACUUCGGUCCUUUCUUUUCUGGGCAGCGUUAACAACUCCACAGCCCGAAGAAUUUGUCUUGCAAUCCCCUCUGCGGCUCAGCUUUCAAUUCUCUAUUCAACCAGCAUGAAUGAAGCGAAGCCUUUAUUUGCAUUCUCUUCAAAUUGCCCUUCACCGCUAGCAUGAGACCUUUGGAAGUUUGUUGCAAGGAACAGCGGAGCCAAGAUAUUUUAGCUGGGCAUGAUGCCCCACCACUACAGCAAAAAAAUAAAAUAAAAAAAAAAAUCACUUCAAAGCAACUGCUGAGUCAGAAAAAAACAGGCCUUGGAUGCAUUCACUUCCCAAAGAUCACAAUGCAAAGCCCCAGCGGGAGGAGGAGCAGGGAGGGAGGUCAAUGGAAGCGGCAUUCCCUGUCCCUGAGUCACUUCUCCUUCAGGAAUUCGGGAGAUCUGGCUUCUCCUCAGUACCAGCACAUCUGCUAUCACAGGGGGACUUUGUACAGAAAUCCCCCGAGGAAGGGUGCUCCACAGUGCUGCUAAUCCUUGGUUUUGGGGGUGAAGGGCUGUGCAGCAGCCCAAGCCAUCUGACAAUAUCACGUUUUCAAGGCAAGAAGCUGUGUGCUCCAAUGCAGAAUGUCGCCUAGGGUUGCCUUCAGGCUUCCUUCCCCAGUGUGGCAUUAAGAGGGGAAAAAACACCUUUGUUCUCCUUUGGCCUUCACCUCGCUGCUGCUCUUAAAAAGCAAAGAGCUGGCCCAGUCCAAGCCCUUUAUGUUAUUUUCAGUUCUGAAAAAGCAAAGUGUCUACAGAAGGAUUUUUUAUUUGAGAUUUUCUACAGCUUUUAAAUUGAUGCAGUGUUUUCUCCUGCACCUCCCACCAUAUGUUGCACACAGGAUGGUUCUUACUUUGGGGAUGAAGAGAAUAAGGGACCUGCUGCCUUCUCCUCUCAGGAUGCACAAAGGCGGAGGAAUAGUGUGGCAUAGCCACCAGCUGCCAUCACGGGUGGGUCACCAGAUGGGUACCUAGUGUGUCCUACCCCAUCCCACUUAACACUCCAUCUUGAGAUUUCAAAACAAUUCCCACUCUGCAUUUGCUCAAACCUCCGGCUGUUUUUCAGUGGAAGGAGAGAGUUCACCCUGGGGUAGCCCAGAUCCUGGUGGUUUAGUGUAUGGUCUUGCCCAUGGGGCGUGGAGGAUGAAAUCCCCUCUGUGAUGCCAGCAGAGUGAGUACCUGCAUCUCCCACAGAUCUGUGCAGUGCCCAAACUACCCUUCCUCCUAUCUAAUUCAGCCUUGCUAAAACUGGUCCAGUCCUGCAGGAAGUGCUGAUGUUGAUGAAUCAACAUUUUCCAGCUAAAAACGUGGCAUUUGCAGUUUCCCAACAAGUCCUAAUUGAGAGCAUUCAGAAAAAAAGCAAACAAACAAGCAAGCAAACCAAACAAUAGCAGAAGGCAGGGAAUGAGCUGGGCAUCUCCAACCGGCUAUCCUCGCUGGGGUAUUGCUCCCAGGGCUGCAUCAGCAGCCUCCAAAGCUUGUCUUUUUGCAACUUCUCUCUGGUGGAAGCUGGUUUUGGCUUAGAGCCAUUUGGCAAAUGCGUGCUUCAACUUUCUUACACCUGUUUUAUAGGUGUGCUGGAUGUAUUCCCAUGCCAUUGUCUGGGACCUGAAAACUUUUGAAAUAGGACACGCCAUCUUAGAUGUUUAUCUAGUUGUUACCAGUUUGUUGACACAAAUAUUUCACUAAACCCUCUAGGUUUCAAUGACUCUUACCUGGCUUCUUGUCUGUCUAAAGCCAGUGUAGGGCUCUGAGCUUCCAAGCACCAUGUCUGCAGAGAGCUGGAGAUCCCAGGCUCUGGGAUCUGAGCCUCCUGCAAAGAUAGAUACCAUCUGAAAUUCAGUGUCUUGGUUGGCAGGAAGACCCUCUUCUUGUCUUGGCUAGGAAAUUAUGUAGCAACAGGUGGCACUGUAGACACGCUCAUGCAACCUCCCUUUUACUCCCACUGACUGGUAGUAAGGAUCACAGCAAAAUAUGUAGCGCUCUUGAGAACAUGAAGAGGAUUGGAUGUGGUGCAUGCUUUCCAAUAAAAGCUGCUAGGUUAUUCACUAAAUACAAUUACAAAAAAUUUUCCAUCCAUAGACUGAUCUUCCAUUCAAUCAUGCUGAGACAAAGUGGUUUCAUUACAAAUUUCUGGUGUUUGAAGACAGUGGGAUAAGUGGGUGGAAAGUCCAUGGUAGGAAGAAAGUAUGGUCCACCUACCACCGCUGGAAAGGAAGAGGUAUCUCCAUGGACUUUGCUCCUGUUUCUGUCCCCAGAGUGCAGCACUUGGGCAAGUGCUGGACCAGCAGAGCAGUCACAGAGACAAUGUUAUCUCCUACACCACCUCUUCAAUUUUUCUUACUCCCAUCUUUUGUCAUCAUUAGACCUGUACAGUUUUGGCAGGGCUUAGUGAUGGAAAUCUCAGAUUUCCAGUAGCAAGUCUCAGUCUCAUCACAAAAUAACCUCUUUGCUUACUUGCUUUCUACAGACCCUGGCUACUUAGUCCAGGAUCUUGGUCCUAUGUGAUGCAGGACAAAUCCCAGUGACUCCACCAAGUCUCGGGUUUUCAGCUGUAAAGGGGAACAGUGCCUCAUGAUCCACAGCAAGUGCUAGUUCUCUUGGAUCUGCUUUCCCUCCAGACCUUGCAAGCAGGCCGAACCACAGAAUUUCUUCUCUGCCUAUGAGCUCAGAGUGGCUUUUCCUUGGGAUGGAUGUGCAAAAAGUUGGGAUUGCAGGUGCAAAAGCAGGAAAGGAGUUUGAAGCAGCAUGUGUCAGCAUCUCAAUAAUCCUGCCUGUCUGACUGCCUGGAGGUGCUUUGUUUCUGACAAAUUUCAGGCUUCUGCAAAUAUCUGGUUAAAUGAGGAAUGAAAUUUGCAGCGUGAAGUGAUGGUUGGCAGCAAGGGAAAGCAGAAGGCAGUCACGGAGGGCAAGCAUCUGGUCCAGGACCAAUACACUCAAAGCACAGCCCCGAGCAUCAACAGUGAUGGAUGUUGCACUGGUGGCAGACAGCUCAGGGAAACUCUUUAUGGUCAAAAUCUGCUUUCUGCGUCUGAUUUGUCAAAUACUUGUGGAUAGCAGGCACGUCCCAUAGUAAGGACUAUGCCUGGGCCUCUGACAAGCAGAAGGGAGAAUUGGACACACUUUAUAAAUUGGUUGUGGCACUUGGCCAUGAUUCUUCUUGUUACAGCUAAUGGGUGACUUAAUUCUUUGCUUAAUCAGGACUGUUUCCAUUACACAACUGAGGAAGUUCCAUCUCCCAGCCGCCUCGCUAUAUUUAGGCGGUGAACUGCAGGAAGCUGACCAGCAUGUUGCUUUCGCAUGUGUUCCCCAGUAACAUUUCCCUAGAAAGUGAAGUCUCUCUCAAUGCUUUCCUCCCAUUCUGCCUCGUCCACCAGGCACCGAGGGUAGGGGAUGCUCUGUGGGUCCCCCCAGACUGUGCAACCUGCCUCCCUCCCUCGCAGCCACUUUGGAUGUUUAGUGAUGAGU